rnacentral:lncRNA from 1 species
AAAUACAUGAUUGAUGUAAACAAUAACCUGACAACAAGCUUCUUUACAUUACAUUUUGUAUUUUAAAAUAAACAAAAUGAGUGGAGUUCUUAUGUCGAAGAUUUUCAUAGGAAAAGACAUGGAAAGUCGUCUUAUUGCGGCAUCUGAAAGUGGUGAUCUUUCAACAGUCAAGAAAUUACUUAAAUUUAAAGUAAACUCAAACUCGAAAGACAGCGAUGGGACGUGUGCACUAUCAAAGGCUUGUGCCGGUAUAUCGAUAAAGCCAAAACUUCUAAGCUUUCAUUACCAUUAUCAGUUUUGUU